CCUCGCCUACCCACUCAUCAUGAUACUGCUGCUGCUGCUCCUGAAAAUGUUGCUGUCGAUACUGAUGAUGCUCAUACUAAUGAUGGUUGUGAUAUUGCCGCUGGUGAUACUGAUGAUGCUAGCUCUGAUGAUGAUACUGAUGAUGCCGAUGCUGCUGAUGAUGGUUUCAGUGGGGGAGGCAGUGAGGCUGAAGAUAUGUACCAGGACUGGAUGGAGACAAUGAGCCCCAUAUACGGAGAGAUCAGCCGCGGAAACGACAUGAACUCGAACGAUGGCAGUGGAUAUGGAGCGGUAAAUCUCAAACCAGACAAAGCCAGCAAGUUCUUCAAGACGUGCUCGGACGAGGUGGCGGGUGCAGUGUUCCGCCUCAAGAAAGUGGGAGGCCGCGUGUUCCAUCGCAAAAAGGGUGAAGAGUGAAACCCACAGAUGACUCACGGCUCACCCGCCCGCUCGCCUCUGCACUCACCGGCUCGCUCGCUUACUCACUCACCGGCUCGCUCGCUCAUCCACCCGCCCACACGUUCAUCCUCUCGCUCACUCGCUCAACAAAGAAUAACAACAGCCGCCAUUCGCCACUAAGUGAUGGUGACAUCACCACGGUGCCUGAGCCAGGCCCAGGUGCACUUGAAGGUCACGUGAAGUGUCGAAGGCUCGCUGACGGGAGGUCACGGGACCGACCCAGGUGCCAUGGGUAGACUGAGGUGACUGACAGAUGCACCACCCAU